rnacentral:rRNA from 1 species
UGGGGAAUCUUGGACAAUGGGGGCAACCCUGAUCCAGCCAUGCCGCGUGAGUGAUGAAGGCCUUAGGGUCGUAAAGCUCUUUCGCCUGUGAAGAUAAUGACGGUAGCAGGUAAAGAAACCCCGGCUAACUCCGUGCCAGCAGCCGCGGUAAUACGGAGGGGGUUAGCGUUGUUCGGAAUUACUGGGCGUAAAGCGCACGUAGGCGGACCAGAAAGUUGGGGGUGAAAUCCCGGGGGCUCAACCCCGGAACUGCCUCCAAAACUAUCGGUCUAGAGUUCGAGAGAGGUGAGUGGAAUUCCGAGUGUAGAGGUGAAAUUCGUAGAUAUUUGGAGGAACACCAGUGGCGAAGGCGGCUCACUGGCUCGAUACUGACGCUGAGGUGCGAAAGUGUGGGGAGCAAACAGGAUUAGAUACCCUGGUAGUCCACACCGUAAACGAUGAAUGCCAGUCGUCGGGUAGCAUGCUAUUCGGUGACACACCUAACGGAUUAAGCAUUCCGCCUGGGGAGUACGGUCGCAGA